rnacentral:rRNA from 1 species
AGAGUUUGAUCCUGGCUCAGGAUGAACGCUGGCGGCGUGCCUAAUACAUGCAAGUCGAGCGAACGGACGAGAAGCUUGCUUCUCUGAUGUUAGCGGCGGACGGGUGAGUAACACGUGGAUAACCUACCUAUAAGACUGGGAUAACUUCGGGAAACCGGAGCUAAUACCGGAUAAUAUUUUGAACCGCAUGGUUCAAAAGUGAAAGACGGUCUUGCUGUCACUUAUAGAUGGAUCCGCGCUGCAUUAGCUAGUUGGUAAGGUAACGGCUUACCAAGGCAACGAUGCAUAGCCGACCUGAGAGGGUGAUCGGCCACACUGGAACUGAGACACGGUCCAGACUCCUACGGGAGGCAGCAGUAGGGAAUCUUCCGCAAUGGGCGAAAGCCUGACGGAGCAACGCCGCGUGAGUGAUGAAGGUCUUCGGAUCGUAAAACUCUGUUAUUAGGGAAGAACAUAUGUGUAAGUAACUGUGCACAUCUUGACGGUACCUAAUCAGAAAGCCACGGCUAACUACGUGCCAGCAGCCGCGGUAAUACGUAGGUGGCAAGCGUUAUCCGGAAUUAUUGGGCGUAAAGCGCGCGUAGGCGGUUUUUUAAGUCUGAUGUGAAAGCCCACGGCUCAACCGUGGAGGGUCAUUGGAAACUGGAAAACUUGAGUGCAGAAGAGGAAAGUGGAAUUCCAUGUGUAGCGGUGAAAUGCGCAGAGAUAUGGAGGAACACCAGUGGCGAAGGCGACUUUCUGGUCUGUAACUGACGCUGAUGUGCGAAAGCGUGGGGAUCAAACAGGAUUAGAUACCCUGGUAGUCCACGCCGUAAACGAUGAGUGCUAAGUGUUAGGGGGUUUCCGCCCCUUAGUGCUGCAGCUAACGCAUUAAGCACUCCGCCUGGGGAGUACGACCGCAAGGUUGAAACUCAAAGGAAUUGACGGGGACCCGCACAAGCGGUGGAGCAUGUGGUUUAAUUCGAAGCAACGCGAAGAACCUUACCAAAUCUUGACAUCCUUUGACAACUCUAGAGAUAGAGCNNNNNNNUUCCCCUUCGGGGGACAAAGUGACAGGUGGUGCAUGGUUGUCGUCAGCUCGUGUCGUGAGAUGUUGGGUUAAGUCCCGCAACGAGCGCAACCCUUAAGCUUAGUUGCCAUCAUUAAGUUGGGCACUCUAAGUUGACUGCCGGUGACAAACCGGAGGAAGGUGGGGAUGACGUCAAAUCAUCAUGCCCCUUAUGAUUUGGGCUACACACGUGCUACAAUGGACAAUACAAAGGGCAGCGAAACCGUGAGGUCAAGCAAAUCCCAUAAAGUUGUUCUCAGUUCGGAUUGUAGUCUGCAACUCGACUACAUGAAGCUGGAAUCGCUAGUAAUCGUAGAUCAGCAUGCUACGGUGAAUACGUUCCCGGGUCUUGUACACACCGCCCGUCACACCACGAGAGUUUGUAACACCCGAAGCCGGUGGAGUAACCUUUUAGGAGCUAGCCGUCGAAGGUGGGACAAAUGAUUGGGGUGAAGUCGUAACAAGGUAGCCGUAUCGGAAGGUGCGGCUGGAUCACCU